rnacentral:lncRNA from 1 species
GCACUUCGUGUGGCCACUUUGUGCAGUCUACACUCAUGCUCCAGACAUGUUUUAUGAUCACAGAAUGUGAGUUUAGCAUGCCUGGUUUAUGACAGUUUAGUAAUUGUUUUUUCUAACUGUAAGUAAUAAGGUUCAUCAGAGAAAAGCUACCAAUUACCAAAGAAACAAGUAAGAAACUUCCCUAAGUCCCACUACCCAGAAAUAGCAGGGGAUAUGUUGCCAAAUGUCCUCUCAAUAUUUCUGCUAUGCGUGCAUGAGUAUGUCUUGCAUUUUGUCCCCAAACCAAGCUGGGAUAAAGGUUGUGGUGAAAAAGGAAUAAAAUACCCUCUAGCCUUCCUCUCCCGGUAAAUCCAAUUAAAAUGCCUGCACACACUUGCAAGGCAGUCUCUAAAUAAUGGAGGAGACUUCUUGUUUCCCAUCCAGCAGGAAGAGCUUGGAAGUUAUCACUUUACCCUGAUAAUGGGAGAGCCAGGAAUGCACCUCUCAGAACAGGCUGGGUGCUGGCUUGGUGAUUUCACCGGGAAACCGUCGACAGAGGAACCUGAGAGGGUCGAAUCUUCUGUCUCUCGCAGGAAGCCAAGGGCUCCUCUGGGAGGGAUGGCCUUCCCACAUCGAGGCACAAACCGCCCAGACCAACAACCCAGCUGCCCCCAGCUCCAGAUGCCUUGUGCCUGUAUGCCUCAGCGCUGCUCCAGGGAGCCAGCGUAUUGUCCCUGCAGUGUGUAUCUCUUGCACAGGGUAUUAUUCUUUGUGUAUAGAGUCCAAGAGCGCUGGGCCUCACUCUCUAGAUCCAGCCAAAGAACCCACCUAAGAGCUAAACUGGGCGGUCCAGGGCAUCUUUCCCUCCCCAGCACAAGGGAGAAGCUGACCAAACUGAAUGCUUAGCAAGGCUGGGAGCAGCAUGGUGCAUUCUGUCAGACACGUGGCCCCCAAGCAGAAGAGAUGGGCUGGCAGACUCAGAGACUCACAGCUUGCCAGAGGAGAAGCACAGGAACAGGGACCUGUGCAGGGAGGAAAACUCCUGGUGUCCUGGUGUGGACAGGAGUUAAACACUCCUGGAAGACCUGCUCAGAGAGGAGUCUCCGUGUUUUGUGAAUUUUACCUUCAGGAGCUCAACCAGGAUCUCACAACGAAAAUGUGAAGAAAAUCCCCUUGUGAGGUAGGCACUUGGUGUGGCAGUUAAGUUGCCUCUAGAGAUGCUUGCCGCCCAUUUCAGAGAGUGCCCGCGUUUAAGUCCCAGCUCUGCUUUUGAUUCCAGCUUCCUGCUAGUGUGCACCCUGGGGAGCAGCAGGUGAUGGCUCAAGUCCUUGGAUCUUUGCCACUCACAUUGGAGACACAGAUUGUUCCAGGCUCCUCCAGCCCCAACUCUUAUGAGAAUUUGAAGAAUGAAUCAACAGAUGAGAGAUUUCUCGGAGUAUGUCUCUUUGUUUCAUUCAAAUAAAUUUUUUAAAAAGUUUUUUAAUCCCUUUGUG